UACAGAGGUCUCAAGCGUUGUUCGGAUUCAUUGGGCGUAAAGGGUGCGUAGGCGGCGCGGUAAGUCGGGUGUGAAAUCUUGGAGCUUAACUCCGAAACUGCAUUCGAUACUGCCGUGCUUGAGGACUGGAGAGGAGACUGGAAUUUACGGUGUAGCGGUGAAAUGCGUAGAUAUCGUAAGGAAGACCAGUGGCGAAGGCGGGUCUCUGGACCGGUUCUGACACUGAGGAGCGAAAGCGUGGGGAGCGAUCCGG
rnacentral:rRNA from 1 species